UGAGAACUGAAUUCCAUAGGU
rnacentral:miRNA from 1 species